GCUGGCGGCGCGCUUAACACAUGCAAGUCGAACGAGAAAGGGGAGCAAUCCCUGAGUAAAGUGGCGUACGGGUGAGUAACACGUGGAUGAUCUACCUCUUGGCGGGGAAUACCUCUGGGAAACCGGAGACAAUACCGCAUAAGCUCGGAAGAGGAAACCCGCAAGGGGCCGAGAGAGGAGUCCGCGGCCGAUUAGCUAGUUGGUAGGGUAAAAGCCUACCAAGGCAAAGAUCGGUAGCCGGCCUGAGAGGGCACACGGCCACACUGGCACUGAAACACGGGCCAGACUCCUACGGGAGGCAGCAGUGGGGAAUCUUGCACAAUGGGGGCAACCCUGAUGCAGCGACGCCGCGUGAGCGAUGAAGCCCUUCGGGGUGUAAAGCUCUUUCGACGGGAACGAUAAUGACGGUACCCGGAGAAGAAGCUGCGGCUAACUACGUGCCAGCAGCCCGCGGUAAUACGUAGGCAGCAAGCGUUCUUCGGAGUUACUGGGCGUAAAGAGUGCGUAGGCGGUUUACCAAGUCUGCUGUGAAAUCUCCCGGCUUAACUGGGAGGGUGCG
rnacentral:rRNA from 1 species